CACUUGCUGGGAGCGUAAUAGUUAUUCUAAGUACUUUGCACAUAAAGUCUGCUAUGACCUUGAAUCAGUCUAUCUCCCAGGUGCCGGUUGUACGUGCUAGUGUCAUCCCACCAGAUUUUAGAUAUUAGCUCAUUUAGUUUUGUGGGGUUUUCUUUUUUUUUUUCUUUUUUGAUGGAUGGGGCUUUUUGGGACAGGGUCUUUCUGUAUAGCCCUAGCUGUCCUGGAACUCACUAUAUACACCAGGCUGAACACAAACUCACAGAGGUCUUCCUACUUCUGCCUGCUGGGAUUAAAGAUGUGCCCCAGCAUCCCCAGAUCAUCCCAUGUGGUAGGAAAUGCUAUUAGCCCUUUUCCCUUCAUUUGUGUGCUAUGGAUGGAACCCAGGGCUUUGCACAUGUUCUAUUGCUAAGCCCUACUCCCUGCCUCCUUAGCCUCAUUUUUAUUGAUGAGAAACUGAGGCUCGGUUAAUGGACUCAUCCAAGAUCACACAGUUAAUAGGCAUUUAAAUCUUGGAACUGUCUCUUAGACCCUCUUGGCUUGAGUCUCAAGUACCAUCUUGUUUGAAGUUUUUUUUCUUCUUGUUGAUCCCAGCAAGACAUGGCAAGAGUUGUCAUAGGUGAGUCACAGAAUCUCCUGAGGUAUAGACUGGAUUCUGAAGGCUGAAGUAGUUACAGAGAGAAAGUCGUAGGCUUGUGUGCGAAUCCUUUAACUGUUGUUCUUGGGCUGUAAGGUUCUUGUCCACGUUCAGCUCAUUUGACCCUUGAUUUCCUUACCUCCAAAAGAUGUAGCUGUUCUAGAAUGUGCUUUAUUUGAGACCUAGUCCACAGGUGCAUGCUGUGUGAGGCACACAAUGAAUAUUUAGUGAAAACUGAAGCAAGUGGUUGAGGUCCCAUGGGCCCUGUGUCACCCAGUCUGCCUUUUACCCUAAACCUUGGUCUUGCCAACCCACCCAUCUGCCUAGCAGUGCUGAUCUGGGACGAUGCCCGAGAAGGCAAGGACUCCAAGGACAAACUGGUGCUGGAGUUCACCUUCACCAAGCCAGUGCUAGCUGUGCGAAUGCGCCAUGACAAGUGAGCUUGAUGAAGACUGGGGAAGGGGGGGGCAGGAGGUUCCUAGAGCAAGUAAGUUAACCCACCCCUACCUCUGCUGCUGCCGCCGCCCCACCCCAGCACUUGCCCUGUCCUCAUGGCCCUCUGUGUUAUGUGUGAUAUCUACAGGAUUGUGAUUGUGCUGAGGAACCGCAUCUAUGUGUACUCCUUCCCUGACA
rnacentral:lncRNA from 1 species